AAGUCGAACUUUGGUUUGGGCUUGUGCCUGGCGCCUUCAUUGGGCGUUUGGGUUGCAUGCCUUGCCAUGUGUAGGGGUGCAGUCUUUCGGGGCUGAUGAUCUCUGCGUAUUACCAUGAGCAAAUCAGAGUGCUCAAAGCAGGCUUUAUAGCUUGAAUGUUUUAGCAUGGAAUAAUGAAAUAAGCUUUAGGUCUUGUUUCGUUGGUUUACUUGACACUGGGGAAUGAUGAAUAGGAACGGUUGGGGGCAUUUGUAUUUGGCCGCUAGAGGUGAAAUUCUUGGAUUGGCCGAAGACAAACUACUGCGAAAGCAUUUGACCCAGGACGUUUUCAUUGAUCAGGGACUAAAGUUGAGGGAUCGAAGACGAUUAGAUACCGUCGUAGUCUUAACCACAAACUAUGCCGACUAGCGAUCGCAUGGAUACUUUUUUUGUUCUAUGCGGCAGCUUAGCGAAAGUAAAGUCUUUGGGUUCUGGGGGGAGUAUGGGACGCAAGGCUGAAACUUAAAGGAAUUGACGGAAGGGCACCACCAGGAGUGGAGCCUGCGGCUUAAUUUGACUCAACACGGGGAAACUCACCAGGUCCAGACAUAAGAAGGAUUGACAGAUUGAAAGCUCUUUCUAGAUUUUAUGGGUGGUGGUGCAUGGCCGUUCUUAGUUCGUGGAGUGAUUUGUCUGGUUAAUUCCGAUAACGGACGAGACCGUAUGGAAUAGUUGGAUGGGCCCAUCUUUUGAUGGGUUGUAUGAGACUCUUGUCUCCCAUCCGCCUAUUCCGACUACUGAAUUCAAUUCAGGGGAAGUAUGGCAAUAACAGGUCUGUGAUGCCCUUAGAUGUUCUGGGCCGCACGCGCGCUACACUGACAAAGGCAACGAGUUUUUUCCUUGGCCGGAAGGUCUGGGUAAACUUUUGAAACUUUGUCGUGCUGGGGAUAGAGCAUUGCAAUUAUUGCUCUUCAACGAGGAAUUCCUAGUAAGCGCAAGUCAUCAGCUUGCGUUGAUUACGUCCCUGCCCUUUGUACACACCGCCCGUCGCUACUACCGAUUGAAUGGCU
rnacentral:rRNA from 1 species